rnacentral:rRNA from 1 species
UGAUGACGAGACGCUAAGGCGUUGAAGCAGUGUAUGUCAGACUUCCAAGAAAAGCUCGCAAUGUCACAAAUUAACCUGCCUGUACCAUAACCGACACAGGUGGGUAGGUAGAGUAUACUAAGGGGCGCGAGAUAACUCUCUCUAAGGAACUCGGCAAAAUGACUCCGUAACUUCGGGAGAAGGAGUGCCUUAUUUAUAAGGUUGCAAUAACAAGAUCCAAGCAACUGUUUAUCAAAAACACAGGUCUCCGCUAAGUCGUAAGACGAUGUAUGGGGGCUGACGCCUGCCCAGUGCCAGAAGGUUAAAGAAGUUGGUUAGUGUAUGCGAAGCUGAUGACUGAAGCCCUGGUGAACGGCGGCCGUAACCAUAACGGUCCUAAGGUAGCGAAAUUCCUUGUCGGGUAAGUUCCGACCCGCACGAAAGGCGUAAUGAUUUGGAUACUGUCUCGGAGAGAGGCUCGGUGAAAUAGACUUGUCUGUGAAGAUGCGGACUACCUGCACCAGGACAGAAAGACCCUAUGAAGCUUUACUGUAACUUGAAAUUGGAAUUGGACUUUGCUUGCGCAGUAUAGGUGGGAAGCGUUGAAAAUAUUCUUGCGGGAGUAUUGGAGCUAUCAGUGAGAUACCACUCCUGUAAUGUUAGAUUUCUAACUUUGAACCAUAAUCUGGUCAAAGAACAGUUUCAGGUGGGCAGUUUGACUGGGGCGGUCGCCUCCCAAAUGGUAACGGAGGCGUACAAAGGUUUCCUCUGAACGGAUAGAAAUCGUAUCUAGAGUGUAAAGGCAUAAGGAAGCUUGACUGUGAGACCUACAAGUCGAGCAGGGACGAAAGUCGGUCUUAGUGAUCUGACGGUACUGAGUGGAAAGGCCGUCACUCAACGGAUAAAAGUUACUCUAGGAUAACAGGCUGAUCUCCCCCAAGAGUUCACAUCGACGGGGAGGUUUGGCACCUCGAUGUCGGCUCAUCGCAUCCUGGGGCGGUAGUACGUCCCAAGGGUUGGGCUGUUCGCCCAUGAAAGCGGUACGCGAGCUGGGUUCAGAACGUCGUGAGACAGUUCGGUCCAUAUCCGGUGUAGGCGCUAGAAUAUUGAGAGGAGCCUUCUUUAGUACGAGAGGACCGAGAAGGACACACCGCUGGUGUACCAGUUAUCGUGCCAACGGUAAACGCUGGGUAGCUAUGUGUGGAGUGGAUAACCGCUGAAAGCAUCUAAGUGGGAAGCCCACCUCGAGAUGAG